AUACGGAGGGUGCAAGCGUUACUCGGAAUCACUGGGCGUAAAGCGCGCGCAGGCGGUUUGGUAAGUCAGAUGUGAAAGCCCACGGCUCAACCGUGGAAGUGCAUUUGAAACUGUCAGACUUGAGUACUAGAGGGGAAAGUGGAAUUCCCGGUGUAGAGGUGAAAUUCGUAGAUAUCGGGAGGAAUACCGGUGGCGAAGGCGACUUUCUGGCUAGAUACUGACGCUGAGGCGCGAAAGCGUGGGGAGCAAACAGGAUUAGAAACCCCAGUAGUCC
rnacentral:rRNA from 1 species